rnacentral:ncRNA from 1 species
ACCAAGGAAUCUGACAUGUGUGCGAGUCAACGGGUGAGUAAACCCUAAGGCGCAAGAAUGCUGAUUGGAGGGAUCCUCUUGUGGGUUGCACCGCCGACCGACCCUGAUCUUCUAUGAAGGGUUAGAGUGAGAGCAUACCUGUCGGGACCCGAAAGAUGGUGAACUAUGCCUGAGCGGGUGGAAGCCAGAGGAAACUCUGGUGGACGCCUGCAGCGAUACUGACGUGCAAAUCGUUCAUCUGACUUGGGUAUAGGGGCGAACGACUAAUCGAACUGUCUAGGAGUUGGUUCCCUCCGAAGUUUCCCUUAGGAUAGCUGGAGCUCGCGGGCGAGUUCUAUCGGGUAAAGCCAAUUAUUAGAGGCAUCGGGGGCGCAACGCCCUCGCCCUAUUCUCAAACUUUAAAUAGGUAGGAUGGCGUGGCUGCUCUAUUGAGCCGUGCCACGGAAUCGAGAGCUCCAAGUGGGCCAUUUUUGGUAAGCAGAACUGGCGAUGCGGGAUGAACCAGAAGUUGGGUUACGGUGCCCAACUUCGCGCUAACCUAGACCCCACAAAGGGUGUUGGUCGAUUAAGACAGCAGGACGGUGGUCAUGGAAGUCGAAAUCCGCUAAGAAGUGUGUAACAACUCACCUGCCGAAUCAACUAGCCCCGAAAAUGGAUGGCGCUAAAGCGCGCGACCUAUACCUGGCCGUCGGGGCAAGUACCAAGACCCGAUGAGUAGGACGGCGCGGCCUUCGGUGCAGAUCUUGGU